rnacentral:lncRNA from 1 species
GUCACAUGAAGCCACACCUUUCACUGGUCUUGCCUUCCCUACCCAGGUCAAAUAUGUAAGAGGGGAAGAGCAGCAAACUGUAUGUUAUUCUCACUUAACCUCUAUCACAUCCCGCGCACCUGAAAUACCGAGUGUAAACCAUGUCUUUCACUCCAAAGUCAUACAGUAAGCCCCAAACAGUUACAACUUCAAGCACUAGAUCCACCAAAACAGUGGAUGACGGCAAAAAGAAAUCCCUGCUGAGGGACAAUAGCUGGAUUAAGUCAAAUGUGAACGAGGAAGAACAAGUCGAACGUGAUGCGAACUUCGGCAAAAGUGUUCUGGGUCGUUAUAAGUCCACCGAAAACCUUGUCAACCCUCAAGAUAAAACUAGCAAAACCGAGAGCAAAACCAGCACUGUCACCACUUCAUCAGGUGCCUCUGUCCAAGCGCUCACUAAAAGAUUUGGUGGUAGCCAGGACAAACUGAAUGAAACCAG